rnacentral:rRNA from 1 species
UCGACCGCCUGGGGAGUACGGCCGCAAGGUUAAAACUCAAAUGAAUUGACGGGGGCCCGCACAAGCGGUGGAGCAUGUGGUUUAAUUCGAUGCAACGCGAAGAACCUUACCUGGUCUUGACAUCCACAGAACUUUCCAGAGAUGGAUUGGUGCCUUCGGGAACUGUGAGACAGGUGCUGCAUGGCUGUCGUCAGCUCGUGUUGUGAAAUGUUGGGUUAAGUCCCGCAACGAGCGCAACCCUUAUCCUUUGUUGCCAGCGGUCCGGCCGGGAACUCAAAGGAGACUGCCAGUGAUAAACUGGAGGAAGGUGGGGAUGACGUCAAGUCAUCAUGGCCCUUACGACCAGGGCUACACACGUGCUACAAUGGCGCAUACAAAGAGAAGCGACCU